rnacentral:rRNA from 1 species
AUUGAACGCUGGCGGCAGGCUUAACACAUGCAAGUCGAGCGGGGUGAUGGUGCUUGCACUAUCACUUAGCGGCGGACGGGUGAGUAAUGCUUAGGAAUCUGCCUAUUAGUGGGGGACAACAUCUCGAAAGGGAUGCUAAUACCGCAUACGUCCUACGGGAGAAAGCAGGGGAUCACUUGUGACCUUGCGCUAAUAGAUGAGCCUAAGUCGGAUUAGCUAGUUGGUGGGGUAAAGGCCUACCAAGGCGACGAUCUGUAGCGGGUCUGAGAGGAUGAUCCGCCACACUGGGACUGAGCCACGGCCCAGGCUCCUACGGGAGGCAGCAGUGGGGAAUAUUGGACAAUGGGGGGAACCCUGAUCCAGCCAUGCCGCGUGUGUGAAGAAGGCCUUGUGGUUGUAAAGCACUUUAAGCGAGGAGGAGGCUCUUUUGGUUAAUACCCAAGAUGAGUGGACGUUACUCGCAGAAUAAGCACCGGCUAACUCUGUGCCAGCAGCCGCGGUAA